rnacentral:tRNA from 1 species
GCCGACGUGGCGGAAAUGGCAGACGCGCUGGCCUCAGGAGCCAGUGGGCGAUAAGCCCGUGCGGGUUCGACUCCCGCCGUCGGCA